UCUGAUUGCGCCGAGCUCCAUCCAUCAGCCGAGGGCCAACACGAACCACUGGAUGGAGGCGGGGGACCCACCGGUCCGCCGACAAGCAGACCAGGAACUGCAGUACCGGUUCCUUGGGGUGAAGCCGAAGUAGUGCACAUGGUGCACAACACGGAGGCCGGGCAACCUCUCCAGCCCGAACCCGACAGCUGACCUCGCGGGCGCUGACGAGAGGAACU
rnacentral:sRNA from 2 species